GCUGACUCGGUCGGUAGAGCAUGCCACUCUUGAUCUCGGAGUCUUGGUUCAAGCUCCAUCUCGGGCAUAGGGCUUAUUGAUCGAUCACACUAGUUGAUCCUAGAAGGAUGUAACUCCGGAACAGCCAGGUGGAAGACUUACAUGGGGCAAGGUGGAUGAAUGUGGGCACCUGGAUUUGCAAAUGAGUCUCCUGGGCUCACAGGAAAGAAGAGGGAAGAGAGCAAAGGAAGAGAAAGAGGCACAGGUGUACUGGUCCCGGCACUUGUGUCCCCAAGCAGGAUACUCACCGGAGGCAACCUCCGAAAGACAAGCGAUGAUGGUUGAGGAUUUGGGGAAAAAAUAGCUGCAUUGGAAGAAAGGCAAGGAAUAGGCGAAGAGAAAUAAUAUCUGGACCUCGCGUGAUAUUUUCUCAACUUAUAAACCAGGUUUUCCAACAUAAUAUGCAUUCAUGCUAACGACAACCUGAGGAGGUUAAAGAACCAUCCUUCCAUUCACUCUGUGGGCUGAACUGGGACCCUGCUUCGGUGGCUUGUCAUUGGAGAAAUAUGAUUGGUGUCCCUACACCAUCUGUCAUCAAUGUAGACAAUUAUUUCGAAUUAAUAGAAACAUAAUU